rnacentral:rRNA from 1 species
GACAGAGGUGCCAAGCGUUAGGCGGAAUCACUGGGCUUAAAGCGUGUGUAGGCGGACUUGUAAGUACCUUGUGAAAUCCCUCGGCUUAACCGAGGAACUGCGUCCGAUACUGAAAGGCUUGAAUCCGGGAGAGGGAUGUGGAAUUCCAGGUGUAGCGGUGAAAUGCGUAGAUAUCUGGAGGAACACCGGUGGCGAAGGCGGCAUCCUGGACCGGUAUUGACGCUGAGGCGCGAAAGCUAGGGGAGCAAACGGG